UACGGAGGGUGCGAGCGUUAAUCGGAAUUACUGGGCGUAAAGGGUGCGUAGGUGGUUUAUUAAGUUAUCUGUAAAAUCCCUGGGCUUAACCUGGGCAGGUCAGAUGAGACUGAUAGACUAGAGUAUAGGCGAGGGUAGUGGAAUUUCCGGUGUAGCGGUGAAAUGCGUAGAGAUCGGAAGGAACACCAGUGGCGAAGGCGGCUACCUGGCCAGAUACUGACACUGAGGCACGAAAGCGUGGGGAGCAAACAGG
rnacentral:rRNA from 1 species